rnacentral:rRNA from 2 species
UUUUGACCUCGGAUCAAGUAGGGAUACCCGCUGAACUUAAGCAUAUCAAUAA